rnacentral:rRNA from 1 species
UCGCCUGUUUUUCAAAAACAUUUUCUAAGUAUUUUUAGAUAGGGCCUGCCCAAUGAUAAUUUAAAUGGCCGCAGUAUCUUAACUGUGCUAAGGUAGCAUAAUCAUUAGUUUCUUAAUUAGAAACUAGAAUGAACGGCUUAACGAAGGAUAAACUGUCUAAACCCUACAAUAAACUUACCUUUGGGGUAAAAAGGCCCCUAACCGCAGUGGGACGACAAGACCCUGUAAAACUUUAUUUUUAUAAUUUUAUAAUUCUAAGUACAUUUUAAAAAUUAUAUAAAUUAUACUGGGACGGUAAAUUUUUCUAUAACAAACUUCAAUAAAACAAUUUAUUUGAUCUUACCAAACCUAAUCUCUAUAAUCAAGAACAAGUUACUUCAGGGAUAACAGCAUAAUUUUCUUUAAGAGCCCUUAUCGAUAAGAAGACUUAUGACCUCGAUGUUGAAUUGAAGAUUCUAAAUGGGGCAGCCCCUAUAUUAAGAAAGUCUGUUCGACUUUUAAACCUUUACAUGAUUUGAGUUCCAAACCGGA